CAGCCGCCGCGGGAAUACGAAGGGGGCUAGCGUUGCUCGGAAUGACUGGGCGUAAAGGGCGCGUAGGCGGAUUGCGCAGUCAGAUGUGAAAUUCCUGGGCUUAACCUGGGGGCUGCAUUUGAGACGCGUAGUCUAGAGUGUGAAAGAGGGUCGUGGAAUUCCCAGUGUAGAGGUGAAAUUCGUAGAUAUUGGGAAGAACACCGGUGGCGAAGGCGGCGACCUGGUUCAUAACUGACGCUGAGGCGCGAAAGCGUGGGGAGCAAACAGGAUUAGAUACCCCUGUAGUCCCUGUCUCUUAUAC
rnacentral:rRNA from 1 species